AAGAUCUCUCUUCCGUCCUCCUCCUCCUCCAGUCCUCUCCUCCGGCCAGCAUGAGCUUGAGAGAGGGUGGUACCUGCAGGUAGCCAUGGACGGCCACCGCCGCGCGCCGCGCCAGAUUCUGGUGCUCGAGGAGGCGUUCAAGAAAUGUCCCCACCCCGACCAGACUCAGGUCGCAAAUCUCAGCCGCGAAACCGGCAUGGAGGUCCAUCAGAUCCAAUACUGGUUCCAGACUCGGCGGGCGCAGAUCAAGGGAUCUUCAUCGAACACAAGGCCUCCGACCAAGGGAUCUUCAUCGUCAGAUCCUUGAUGCUCCUCUCAUUCGACAACUUCGCCUUCAUUCUUUGACACAAGGAGGAGCGUCAUAGAGAUGGAGGCUGAUGUUCGUCGUCGCUAUUGUGGUCUUUCUCGGUUUAGUGUUUGUGCGUGUGUGUUUCGUCUUAUUA